rnacentral:rRNA from 1 species
AUUGAACGAUGGCUGCAGGCCUAACACAUGCAAGUCGAACGAGUGGCGGACGGGUGAGUAAUGUCUGGGCAACUGCCUGAUGGAGGGGGAUAACUACUGGAAACGGUAGCUAAUACCGCAUACCAUCGGAUGUGCCCAGAUGGGAUUAGCUAGUAGGUGGGGUAAAGGCUCACCGAGGCGACGAUCCCUAGCUGGUCUGAGAGGAGGACCAGCCACACUGGAACGGAGACACGGCCCAGACGCCUACGGGAGGCAGCAGUGGGGAAUAUUGGACAAUGGGCGCAAGCCUGAUGCAGCCAUUCCGGGUGUAUGAAGAAGGCCUUCGGGUUGUAAAGUACUUUCAGCGGGGAGGCGUUACCCGCAGAAGAAGCACCGGCUAACUCCCUGGCAGCAGCCGCGGUAAUUC